CAGGUAUUACAUAGCGGCGUUUUGAAUAACGCCAAACUUGCAUUACGGCGAAUUGAUUAACGUAUUUUGUACCGGAAUUGAUUUACGUCGUUUUGGCUUAUUCUGUCUCUCACGCAUAAAAUUGUAUUAGGCUAUCUCUCUCUAGCAUUUUCGUGCAAGAGGAGACACCACGAAUGUUCAAAUUCACCUCGAGCCAUGGUGGUGAAUUUUUUCAAGAAAAUCAAGUAGCGAAUUAAAAGUAAUUUUUGUAUUUUUUAUCCUUUUAGUGUGAAUAUAAUUAAUUGUGUAAAAAUAAAAAUAAAUUUGUGAAAAUCGUGAAAAUAAAUCGACGAAAAAUGGUUAAAAAAGAUAUGAAAUUAGGUCAACUGAACGGCAGAUGAACGGCGUUGUGUGGGAGGGACUUUUCUUAUAGCUUGUCAGGAGAAUGACUACCAAAGUGGCCAGGAAGGUAGUGAUUAGGCUGUGUUGUUACGUGGAAUAACCGUGCGUCAGAAGCGAAAUUCACACAGACGGAUUUGCUAGAUCCUGAAUCCAUUCAGAGGGUUGUGGAACUUCGUCUGGAUUGCAAACGAUGGCCACAGGGGAGACACACGGAAGACUAGGGCUGUAGAAUUUUCUUCGGGUGACCAAACUAACGCGACACUACGGCUCAUUUGAAGGAGCUCCAUGAUCUUGAGUUCAGUCUGGAAGUGAAACGCGUGGUGUCAACCGCCAAGGAUGGGUUGAGUGUAAUUUGUGAUGUAACCUCUGGCCUGGAACAUACUCGAGGCAACCACCUGAGGGAGUGAAAUACCUUCCCAUGCGCUGUGUGUGUUCUUGAGGACAAGAAGAACAGUGACGCCACUGCACACUGACAAUCCCAUUACGAAAGUCCUGGAAGGAACAUGGCUUCCUGUAAUGAAAGAAUCCCGAAACAAAGACUCUUCUGGGCGCUAUUGAAGAGGAUGCGAGUCUCAGUAUUAUCAGUGAGUGGAGAUAGACGAUUUGUUGGCUAUCAGUACGCUGUUUGGUACCUCCUUAAGCAAAGCACACACAUUGCCUUCAAUCUUCAGCGGGCUCUUCAUGUCACGGGACACAAUUCCUUCCCAAUCUCAGCUCCGAGGAUCCUGCAAUCUCCAACAAUGCCAAAGAAAUUAUUCCCUCGAGUUUAAAAAUUUCCUGCCAGUGAAAAAUCAAAGAAAAAUCUUCAUGAAUAAAGAAAAUUCACUCUUUAUUAAAUUUUAUUCUUUAUUAAAUUAAAAAAAUAAUAAAAUUUUGUUAAUAGAGUAUUUUUGUAAAAAUGAACUAAAAUAAAUAAUGAUUUGAACAUAGAAAA